rnacentral:rRNA from 1 species
AUGGUAGAAAGAGAGCGGAGGAGCGGCGGCGCGAGGAGCAGGGGAAGAGGGGAUGGAUGGUUGCUGCUGAUCAAUCCUUCUCGAUCUGGGAUUCUGGCUCGCAGCGAAAGAAGGGUCGGGGAUUCUGGCGGACUCAAGGUGGUCGGCCAGAAGCGCGCCCUCCGCCACACCAUGAGGAUGGACGACAAGCUUCAGGUCCUCCAGGACGUGUGGUACCACAAGGUGGACGUAACGCACGGCACGGGCGUCUUCAUGAUCGACGGCUCCAAGUUUUCCGCCAAGAGCACCCCCGAUGAUCUUGAGCUGGAGGACGGGGAUCUGGUCGAUUUCUUUGAGCAUAUGGAUGGUGGAGCGUUAGUUGCUCUGCAUUGA